GACGUAGGGCGCGAGCGUUGUCCGGAUUUAUCGGGCGUAAAGAGCUCGUAGGCGGUUUGUCGCGUCUGCUGUGAAAACCCGAGGCUCAACCUCGGGCCUGCAGUGGGUACGGGCAGACUAGAGUGCGGUAGGGGAGAUUGGAAUUCCUGGUGUAGCGGUGGAAUGCGCAGAUAUCAGGAGGAACACCGAUGGCGAAGGCAGAUCUCUGGGCCGUAACUGACGCUGAGGAGCGAAAGCGUGGGGAGCGAACAGG
rnacentral:rRNA from 1 species